GGAACAGUGACAGAAUUCAUGGCAUAGACUUUGAGUACCACAAGACCCAUGAUCUGCUCCUGGUGAGUACUUCUAACGCCUGUUAUCUGAUACAUGUUGACGACGACAUCGAGAAGCUCCUGGAUAGCAUGGACAGCAGGGACAAAUACGAGGACGAUAUCUACCAGCAGAUCAAAGCCCACACUGGCGAGAGCAAGAGCAGCCUCAGCGAGCUCCGCACCGAAUACCACGACAUCCGCGCCGUCGCCGAGUGCUUCAGGCACUCCGUCUACGACCUGACCCCCAGCUCCUAAGUGGUGCCACAGAGGUUUUCUUCUUGUCCAGUUGGUUGACACAUUAAAGCUGAUUUCUAUCGGUCGUCCAUA